rnacentral:rRNA from 1 species
CCUACGGGGUGCAGCAGUGGGGAAUAUUGGACAAUGGGCGAAAGCCUGAUCCAGCCAUGCCGCGUGUGUGAAGAAGGCCUUCGGGUUGUAAAGCACUUUCAGUGGGGAAGAAAGCCUUGGGGCUAAUACCCUCGAGGAAGGACAUCACCCACAGAAGAAGCACCGGCUAACUCCGUGCCAGCAGCCGCGGUAAUACGGAGGGUGCGAGCGUUAAUCGGAAUUACUGGGCGUAAAGCGCGCGUAGGCGGUCUGAUAAGCCGGUUGUGAAAGCCCCGGGCUCAACCUGGGAACGGCAUCCGGAACUGUCAGGCUAGAGUGCAGGAGAGGAAGGUAGAAUUCCCGGUGUAGCGGUGAAAUGCGUAGAGAUCGGGAGGAAUACCAGUGGCGAAGGCGGCCUUCUGGACUGACACUGACGCUGAGGUGCGAAAGCGUGGGUAGCACACAGGAUUAGAUACCCAGUAGU